CGUACACUCCUGCGGGAGGCAGCAGUGGGGAAUAUUGGACAAUGGGCGCAAGCCUGAUCCAGCCAUGCCGCGUGAGUGAUGAAGGCCCUAGGGUUGUAAAGCUCUUUCACCGGAGAAGAUAAUGACGGUAUCCGGAGAAGAAGCCCCGGCUAACUUCGUGCCAGCAGCCGCGGUAAUACGAAGGGGGCUAGCGUUGUUCGGAAUUACUGGGCGUAAAGCGCACGUAGGCGGAUCGAUCAGUCAGGGGUGAAAUCCCAGGGCUCAACCCUGGAACUGCCUUUGAUACUGUCGAUCUGGAGUAUGGAAGAGGUGAGUGGAAUUCCGAGUGUAGAGGUGAAAUUCGUAGAUAUUCGGAGGAACACCAGUGGCGAAGGCGGCUCACUGGUCCAUUACUGACGCUGAGGUGCGAAAGCGUGGGGAGCAAACAGGAUUAGAUACCCGUGUAGUCCCAU
rnacentral:rRNA from 1 species